rnacentral:tRNA from 1 species
GCCCGGGUGGCGGAAUUGGCAGACGCGCUUGGUUCAGGUCCAAGUGCCGCAAGGCAUUGGGGGUUCGACUCCCCCCCCGGGCACCA